rnacentral:rRNA from 1 species
CCCUUAGAUGUUCUGGGCCACACGCGCGCUACACUGAUACGUUCAACGAGCUCCUUGACCGAGAGGCCCGGGUAAUCUUUGAAACCGUAUCGUGAUGGGGAUAGAACAUUGCAAUUAUUGUUCUUCAACGAGGAAUGCCUAGUAAGCGCGAGUCAUCAUCUCGCGUUGAUUACGUCCCUGCCCUUUGUACACACCGCCCGUCGCUCCUACCGAUUGAACGUGCUGGUGAAGCGUUAGGACUGGAGGUCUUGGGCCGGUUCGCCUGCCCAUAGCUUCGGGAAUUUCGUUGAACCCUCCCGUUUAGAGGAAGGAGAAGUCGUAACA